UACGUAGGGGGCGAGCGUUGUCCGGAUUUAUUGGGCGUAAAGAGCGUGUAGGCGGCCAGGUAGGUCCGUUGUGAAAACUCGAGGCUCAACCUCGAGACGUCGAUGGAAACCAUCUGGCUAGAGUCCGGAAGAGGAGAGUGGAAUUCCUGGUGUAGCGGUGAAAUGCGCAGAUAUCAGGAAGAACACCUAUGGCGAAGGCAGCUCUCUGGGCCUUACCUGACGCUGAGGAGCGAAAGCGUGGGUAGCGAACAGG
rnacentral:rRNA from 1 species